rnacentral:misc_RNA from 1 species
AAAGUCGUAACAAGGUUUCCGUAGGUGAACCUGCGGAAGGAUCAUUAUCGAAUUUAAAGCUUGGUUGAGCUGUCGCUUCGGCGUACGUGCUCGCCUCGCCGUCCAUUCUCAACACCUGUGCACACUCAAGUCUUUGUCUUUUACUGCCUAUCGCUUUUUCUUCUUAACUGAGGGAGAAGUGAGAAAGUGGGAAUGGGAUGAAGGCUGCCUUUUAACACACCCUUCUUUUAAAAUGUCUAUGAACGUCAAAUGUAGGCUCGCCUUAAAAACGUGAUGCUGAAAUUAAAAUUAAUACAACUUUUAACAACGGAUCUCUUGGCUCUC